GGAAGUCGCUUGCUGUCUCUGGGCCAGAGUUUCCUCUUUUGAAAAACGGAAGGAUUAACUAGGCGAUCUUGAAGGCCCUUUGGCUGUGGCAGAGUCUGGCGCACAGAAGCGAAAGAAGCACAGAUGCAGCCAGGGAAAGGGAUGUGGAAUUGGCCAACUAUGGGGGCAACUUGCUCACCCUCAGGCAGGGCUCUGCCUGCUGACAUCAAGCCAAUUACAGCAUCCUUCUGAGAGGCCGGCAAAGAAAACAAAGGCUCUGAAAGAGGAAAGAAAGACCCCCAGUCAGCACUUGGGCUGUGGAAGCUUCAGGAAUAACACUCAAAAGUGUGGGAGCCAGCCUAGACUGGAAUCCCAGUUCUACUUCACAAGCUGUGUGACCCUGGACAGUGUACUUAACCUCUCAGUUUUGUUAUCUAUAAAGACCUCUUUGGUUGGUCCUGGGGAUUAGCUAAAAUGACAGAAAUGAAAGCACUUUGGAGGAACAAAAAAUGGAAUCCACUGAAGCCUUCAGCUGUGCUGUGUUGUAAAUGAAAGCUGCUUAACCGAGAGUGGCAUAUGGAAUCUCAGACAUGCAUCUGAGUCUCAGCUGUUUACUGUGUGACCCUCAGAUACUCACUCAACCUCUCAGAGCCUUGGUGUCAUCUGUAAGAGGCAAGUGUUUAUGGUAUUUUCCCUAAAAGGAUGAUGGAAGGAAAAUCAGAAAAGAGCCUGUGCAAAGUGCCAGCCUCUCAAUAGGCCUCAAAAAGUUACGCUUCUCUUAUUCCCCAGGCAUCCUCAUUCCAGAGCCAGGGUGGCACUACCAUUAUCCGCAGGUGUGUGUGUCACUAUGCCACCCUGGGUGCCGGGCCAGGCUGCGGGGCACGGCCAAGCCCUGGAUGACCCACAGCAGCCUACCCACCCAGUGGUUAGCUCAGGAAAGCCUCAAAUUAUACAAUUUAUGAAACCCAAUCCAGUUUUCCGACUGGAACGUGUGAUUAGAGAGAUUACACAUUCACUGUUGCAAUUAUGGUAAUGUUGAUGUGUGGACAGAUAACUGGCAGCGGGGCUGUUCUGAACCGUCUAUUUAUAGGUUGAAGAUUCUUGCUAUCUCAAGGCAGACAUAUGGGCCAUAAAGGCAGGCGACAAAAACAGGAGGGGAGAGCAAAGCUCCCUCGAAAUGAAAAGACACGAAAGGAAGCGGUAAUUAGGGCUGGGACCAGCUUAUGUAAAUCAGGUAAUACUUUCAAAACAGAGAUGAGAUCUGGUUUUAAUAAAGCGCAUUGGAACAAAUGGUGGAAUAAUGACU
rnacentral:lncRNA from 1 species